CUUUUCCAAAAGACAAAUCUAAGAGCAGGAAGGGCCCCCUCAGCAGAGAUGCACUGGCGUGGGCUCACCAGGGAGAGGGAAGAGACAACGCUUGGCACAGCCCACAGCACGGCUGCUCAUAAACACUCACAGCCCCUCCGUGUCAGAGGACCUUCCCCACCACUGACAUCAGGCUGGGCCAUGCGACUGCCUUUGUCCCUAAAACUGGAGAGGAAGUGGGGGGCGUGGCUUCUGGGCAGCAGCUUUAGUACUUCAUGAGUUAUUCGUCACGUUCUCUCUUCCUCCCUCUGAGCAGCAGGAAGUGCAGAUGGCGAGGACGAGACGCCCAGCCAAGGGACAAUGGACGAAGAGCGUGAGGGACGGCCUGUGUCACCGUUGGAGCUUCCUAAGAGUCCCAGAGGCUGAUGCACCUCCCAGACUCGCCUCGGCCCGGCUCCCUGGGCCCUGCUCCAGGGGCUUCAUUGCUCCCUGCCCCGGGUCACCCCUCUGCUCACCGUCUCUCAGGUGUGGAAUAUCCUGCUCCAAUCAAAGCCAUGUCACCUGCGUUGUCCAGUGAAACGUCAGCGGACAGGCGCUGCCCGGGCUCCAGGGAGCUCCUCACCGAGGCUCACUCCCUGCGCCUCUGCCAUCAGCACAGGGGGACCUGCCUGGCUGCCUGUGGGACCAGGGAGGACGCGCGGUGCGGGAGCAGAGCCAGCCACACUGCCGCUGCUGCACUGUUCAUCUGAGUGGCGCAAGGGCAAGGAGAGGACCGUGCAUCCUCAGUGACAGCGGUGCCUCACCAUGCUUUAGAGAAGCCUGUCCUUGCCCCCGAGCUGCUCUCCAUGGAGUCCUGUUUGCGCACCGGAGGUCCCUGUGAAGGAGCGUCCAUCAGGUCUGGACGUGCACCUGACCUCGCUGACUGAGAACGUGGUGAUGAAGGAACGACGUGCGCAGCAGGCCGGAGGCUGCCUGAUUCUGACGCGUGUUCACGGAGGCCCGUGUGCAGCGAUGAUCCCCAGCCAGCAUCCGGGUGAUCCCCAGCCAGCAUCCGGGUGAUCCCCAGCCAGCAUCCGGGUGAUCCCCAACCAGCAUCCGGGUGAUCCCCAGCCAGCAUCCAGGUGAGCCCCAGCCAGCAUCCGGGUGAUCCCCAGCCAGCAUCCGGGUGAGCCCCAACCAGCAUCCGGGUGAUCCCCAACCAGCAUCCGGGUGAUCCCCAGCCAGCAUCUGGGUGAGCCCCAGCCAGCAUCCCGGUGAUCCCCAGCCAGCAUCCGGGAACUUGGCUUUUGGAACGUUUCCUGAGUGACUGGUUGACCAGGUCGUUGUGCACUCAGGGAACUAAGCCGUUCCCUACCAGCUGCCUGGACUCUGCAGUGUGAUCAGGGCACGCCUGACUUCUGUCACCACAGUGGCUGCACAGGCAGAGGGUGCCUAUGUGACCAGCCCCCUGUAGAAGCCCCGCACUCAGAGACCUACACGGCCUCCCUGGGAAGCGACACUCUGGAUGUGUUGCUGACUUGGUUGCUGGAGCAAGACGCGUGUUUGGUGGACUCCCCUGGGUCUUUCUCCCCUGCUGAUCUUGCUACGUGGCCUUUCUCUGUAAUAAGCCAUGGAGUCCACUCUCUAAUCACGCAGUGUGUGGUGGCCCCAGGACCCCUGAGACAUGGAGCUGGCAGGGAAGACAGGCAGCUGCCCGAGGCGCUUGAGGCAGAGAAGGAUGGGGAAUAGCCUGGCUCCUCCCUGCCCCCCAUCACCCACCAGGGCCUCUCACUGUCUGAGCUCAGCCUGAGGCUAGCUGACCAGGGGUGUGGGAAGCCCAACUCUACAAAUUCACAGCAGAUCAGCCCCCAACCCCCACAAAUUCCCAGCAGAUCAGGAAGGGUGGGGCAUGGAUGAAAGGGCAUCAGGGCCACAGGCCCAGGACAGGCACGUGGGUUGCUCUUGGAGGCAUUUGCAGGUACACUAAGAAGCUCCAGGAAGGACACACACACACACAUAUACACACACAUACACAUACAUAUGCACACACAUACAUACACAGACACACACACACACGUACACAGACACACAGACACACAUACACACACACAUUCCCCUGCCCUCCCAUCUCCAGACCUUGCGGUCCCCAUGAGCCUUCCGAUUCCUAGCACUGCCGGGCUGUCCUGAAGGCUCUUUUGGCCAGAAAUGGGCAGGGAUCUGACAGCACCUGCUGUCAGGUGAGUCCUGUUGUACUCAUGUCAGAGAUUAGGACGAGAAGACACAGGAGUGAGUUGGGCUGGGGUCUCAGCUGCAGAUGACAAGGAGAGCACAGAGGAAAGCCUGGCCCACCUCCCCUCCCCACUGGGCCCCUGGGUGGGAUACCACCAUUUCCAGAAUGGGCUGUGGGUUGCGCAGGCUCCUGAGGUUCGCUGAACCGGGGCUCUGAGGGGUCCCCAAAGUGCUUCCUCCCUGUCCUGUGCCCCCACCCCAUGGGGUGGAAGAGCCGCCCGCAGGCCUGGGUUCCGCCAUGCACAAGGGAACUGGACCUUGGUGACUAUUCAGGAGGGAGUCUCCGGGCUGCCCUUCCCAUGACCACACGUCAAUCCCCUUUGGCCCCAAGGGAAUUUCUCCUAACCCUCCCUUGGAGGAGUCCCCUCGGUGCCAGCCCACCCUCAUCACUCUCUCCUGGACCCCCAUGAACAGACUCCAUGGCGCCUGCACCUGUCUUUGUCCUGCCAACCCUCCCUGUCCAGAGCAGCCGUGGGGCCUCUUACAGUUUUAAGUCUGUCUGCAUCACGCGUUUCCUCAGAGUCUCCUCAGGCUGUGUGAGUCCUCGUCCUAACAGGCCCUGACUGCCUGGCGCUGCCUACCUCUCCUGCCUCAGCAGGAGCUGCCCACACCUGUCCUCAGCCAACCAAGCUCCUAACCGUCGGGGAUCCUGGGACUCGGGCCUGCCUUUGCUGGACACUUCCUUCAGAUUUCCACCUGGCCACGUUCCACUCUUUCUUAAGGAUUCUGCUUAAAAGUCACGUCCUCUAAGGCUCCUCGCUGGCCUUCCCCACCACAUUGAUGUCCAGAUGAAGAAACAAAAGUUCUGAGAGGUCUUCAGGAACUUGUAUAUAAUUACAGAGGUAAUAAGGAUUGGUUGGAAAUGAAACCAAGGGCUACCUCCUGUCCCCAAAGCUCAUGCUCUUAACCCCUUCACCAUGAGUUUCUGGUUCUAUUCCUAGACUCUAGGCAUCAUAUACUCCUGUUAAUACUUUCUGUCUUCAAGCAAGUCCAUUUACAUUUAUAUUAUAAAAGGUUAAGUUGUUCAUGAAUAUAGCUUCUAGAUUCAGACCACCUGGAUUCAAAUUUAGACUCCACAUAUACUGGCUGUGAGAUAUUGCCCAGUGUGCAUAAUCUUGCCAAGGCCUCAAUUUCUUCACUUAUAGUAUAGGGAAGACAGUAUGGCCUACCUAGUGACAAUGGAUGGUUGUGAGGAUUAAACGAGAUAAAUCAUGUAAA